rnacentral:misc_RNA from 1 species
AACGCACAUUGCGCUUCCUGGUAUUCUGGGGAGCAUGCCCGUUUGAGAAUCAAUAAUUCCUCUCACCUGCAAAGGUGGACUUGGAGGGACUGUGUUUAUGGAUGUGAACACGGCCCACUUAAAACCAUUGAUGGACAGCUUUACCUGGUUUGGACACGAGGAUUCCUGCUGUGAACGCAUGAAUGGAGCCGUGGGUUUCAAAGUAAUACGUUCGCCUUUGCAUGCAAGAUUCUUUGUUCAUAAGACAAGGGGCACUUUUCAAAGUGUCGAGCCAUCCCCAAAACCAAUGACGUGGCCGGCUGUCUUUGACGGCGGAUCAUCGGUCACCCAUUGAACUUGGUCUCAAAUCGGGUAGGAAAACCCGCUGAACUUAA